AGCAGCCGCGGUAAUUCCAGCUCCAAUAGCGUAUAUUAAAGUUGUUGCAGUUUAAAAAGCUCGUAGUUGAAUUUCGGGAUCAAAUUGUCGGUCGUGCCUCGGUACGUACUGGUAUUAUUGGUUCCUCCCUUCUGACGAACCACGAUGUCAUUAAUUUGGUGUCAUGGGAAAUCAGGACUGUUACUUUGAAAAAAUUAGAGUGUUUAAAGCAGGCUCGCGCUUGAAUACAUUAGCAUGGAAUAAUGAAAUAGGACGUUUGAUUCUAUUUUGUUGGUUUCUAGGAUCGACGUAAUGAUUAAUAGGGAUAGUUGGGGGCAUUAGUAUUCAAUUGUCAGAGGUGAAAUUCUUGGAUUUAUUGAAGACUAACUACUGCGAAAGCAUUUGCCAAGGAUGUUUUCAUUAAUCAAGAACGAAAGUUAGGGAUCGAAGACGAUCAGAUACCGUCGUAGUCUUAACCAUAAACUAUGCCGACUAGGGAUCGGAUGAUGUUAAUUUUUANGUACUNAUUCGGCGCCUUACG
rnacentral:rRNA from 1 species